GGGGUCGUGGCUAAGCUGGUUAAAGCGCCUGUGUAAUAAACAGAAGAUCUUGGGUUCAAAUCCCAGCGGUGCCU
rnacentral:tRNA from 1 species